CGCGGCCUAUCAGCUUGUUGGUGAGGUAACGGCUCACCAAGGCAUCGACGGGUAGCUGGUCUGAGAGGACGAUCAGCCACACUGGGACUGAGACACGGCCCAGACUCCUACGGGAGGCAGCAGUGGGGAAUAUUGCACAAUGGGCGCAAGCCUGAUGCAGCAACGCCGCGUGAGGGACGACGGCCUUCGGGUUGUAAACCUCUUUUAGCAGGGAAGAAGCGAAAGUGACGGUACCUGCAGAAAAAGCACCGGCUAACUACGUGCCAGCAGCCGCGGUAAUACGUAGGGUGCAAGCGUUGUCCGGAAUUAUUGGGCGUAAAGAGCUCGUAGGCGGUUUGUCGCGUCUGCUGUGAAAAUCCGAGGCUCAACCUCGGACCUGCAGUGGGUACGGGCAAACUAGAGUGCGGUAGGGGAGAUUGGAAUUCCUGGUGUAGCGGUGGAAUGCGCAGAUAUCAGGAGGAACACCAAUGGCGAAGGCAGAUCUCUGGGCCGUAACUGACGCUGAGGAGCGAAAGCGUGGGGAGCGAACAGGAUUAGAUACCCUGGUAGUCCACGCCGUAAACGGUGGGUGCUAGCUGUGGGCCACAUUCCACGUGGUCCGUGACGAAGUUAACACAUUAAGCACCCCGCCUGGGGAGUACGG
rnacentral:rRNA from 1 species